rnacentral:misc_RNA from 1 species
AACAAGGCGUACCUGCGGACCUGCGGAGGGAUCAUUACCAGAGUGCCCUAGGCUCUCCAACCCAUUGUGAACUUACCAAACGUUCCCUCGGCGGGCUCAGCGCGCGGCGGCCUCCGGGCCUCCGGGCGUCCGCCGGGGAAAACCAAACCCUGAUUUAAUCGUAUUUCUCUGAGGGGCGAAAGCCCGAAAACAAAAUGAAUCAAAACUUUCAGCAACGGAUCUCAGAUCGGAAGAGCACAC